CAUCUCACCGUUCAUAAUAUAUCGAUUAACUUUUUGAUAAAUUUUUUGUGGUUGCGAUCCGCGAGUGCGUAUUAUUUGUUUUAAGUUAUAACACAGUGUCACAGUGCGAUAAAAUUCCUAAGAUGUGUCUUGAACAUAUUUCACUACCACAACCAGUCCUGCGAAACGCGUUGUCUAUUACGCACCCAGCAAAUCACGUUUAAGAUGUGGAGCAGAGUAACGGCUGAGCAAACAACUGAAACCGAUUGAAUGGUGUGUGGUUAUAAUAUGAGUUAUAAGGCUUCGUCCAGCGGUGUCUGCAGCUCAACGUGUCCGGUCGCCCAUCAGGAAAUAAAUGCGAGCAGUGCGAGAGGAAACUUUGUCACGUCGUCGUAUGCAAAGUUUGUCAAUCGAAGAUCCAAAAGACUCAUUAUUGUAAUACAGCCAUACAGUAUAUUAUAUUAUGGAGAAAUUGAUUUCAGUAGUGGUGAAAAGUGAAAACCUGACCGGUAGUGUCGGCGGUGAAGAUUGAAACGGUCGAAACACAUUUUGCGGAAGUUGUCUGCCACGGGGUUACAUAAAUAAAUGCCAAAUGCUGGCGCCAAAUAAUAAAAAGCGUAUUCUACAAGGUGAUAUGAGUCAGCUCGCCCCAUUUUUUCAUUGGUAAUUUAUUUAAUCAAAUUUUGAUUUGUUAAACGUCCAAGUAUCUAUA